rnacentral:rRNA from 1 species
GACGAACGCUGGCGGCGUGCUUAACACAUGCAAGUCGAGCGAUGAAGUAUCUUCGGAAAUGGAUUAGCGGCGAACGGGUGAGUAACACGUGCGGAAUCUGCCCUUCACUUUGGAAUAACUCCGGGAAACCGGACCUAAUACCGGAUACGAACUCUGGCGGCAUCGCCGGGGGUGGAAAGUUUUUCGGUGAAGGAUGAGCUCGCGGCCUAUCAGCUUGUUGGUGAGGUAAUGGCUCACCAAGGCGACGACGGGUAGCCGGCCUGAGAGGGCGACCGGCCACACUGGGACUGAGACACGGCCCAGACUCCUACGGGAGGCAGCAGUGGGGAAUAUUGGGCAAUGGGCGAAAGCCUGACCCAGCGACGCCGCGUGCGGGAUGAAGGCCUUCGGGUUGUAAACCGCUUUCAGCAGGGAAGAAGCGAAAGUGACGGUACCUGAAGAAGAAGCACCGGCUAACUAUGUGCCAGCAGCCGCCGCAG